rnacentral:tRNA from 1 species
UGCAGUGUGGCCUAGUGGAUAGUGCACUGGACUGGGACUCCAGAGACUGGUUCUAUUCCUGGCUCUGCCA